GAUGAACGCUGGCGGCGUGCCUAAUACAUGCAAGUCGAACGAGGUGCUUGAGUAGCAAUACGAGAGUAUCCUAGUGGCGAACGGGUGAGUAACGCGUGGAUGACCUGCCCCAAAGUGUGGGAUAACAGUCCGAAAGGAUUGCUAAUACCUCAUGUGGUUAUCGGUUUUAGAAAGCGAUAACUAGAGCAGCAAUGCGCUUUGGGAGGGAUCUGCGUCCCAUCAGCUAGUUGGUGAGGUAACGGCUCACCAAGGCGACGACGGGUAGGGGACCUGAGAGGGUGGCCCCCCACAAUGGAACUGAAACACGGUCCAUACACCUACGGGUGGCAGCAGUAGGGAAUAUUGCUCAAUGGGCGAAAGCCUGAAGCAGCAACGCCGCGUGUGCGAUGAAGGCCUUCGGGUCGUAAAGCACUUUUCUAAGAGAUGAGAAAGGACAGCAUCUUAGGAAUAAGUCUCGGCUAACUACGUGCCAGCAGCCGCGG
rnacentral:rRNA from 1 species